CCUCCUCCCCCCCCCUCUCUCUCUCUCUCUCUCUCUCUCUCUCGCUCGAAAUGGAAGCAGGACUGGCGAAUCGAUUAUCGAAGGUGGCUCUGCUUCUAGUGCUGCUUGUUUCGGUGGCGGUCCGCGCGGAGGACGCGCCGGCGCCGGCACCAGGAAUGGAGAGCGGAUCGAUCGCGGCGGUGCCUGGGCUCUGCGUGCUGCUUCUCACCGCCAUGGCUUCCGCGCUCGCUGCCUUCGCGCAUUGAGGGCCAAUCUCUCAAUGGCUCGUUCUAUGAACUGGAUAUAAGAAAACCCAUUUCUGCA